AGCCCUGUCCUGAGGCCCGGGCCGGACCCCACCCCCAGUCCACCAGUUUUGGAGGCGAGGCCUUGGCUGAGCUGGCAGAGAGAGAGGAGGGCGGCACACAGAGAAGAGGUGUUCUCAUCAGAUCACAGCGACCCGAUGGACCAGACCAUCGAGGAGGUGAUCCAGGCGUGCUGCUAUGGCGUCAGCUCCACUACCUGCCAGCAGGAGGAGACAGAGAGCUUCCACUUCAGCCUUCCUGUCUCCAUGGAAACACACAGUGAGGACUGGGACUCACCUGUACAGGUGCCCUCACACUCGCCUGUACGGUCUCUUACACGCUCACCUGUACCGUCUCUUACACGCUCGC